AUGAACAUGACAUACUACGGUCCUGUAUAGAUGAAUACAAAAGGUACAAUACAGUAAAACUGCACAUUUUCAAAUGGCAAUAAUCCUGCUGUCUCAUCAGCAUCUUGAUGUGCUACACCUGGAUUAUCUACGCAAAGGAGAUUAAGACAAAUUUAUGACCAAUAUUUCAGAAAAAUAGGCCUUUUGUGGCUGGAAAAACUCAAAUUUGAAGAUUUGUUUUAGUUUGUAUUUUUUAGUUUGUCACCGAUAACAUGAAUAAAGUCAAAUAGCAAAUGUGAACAUGUGCAUUUCUAAAUGAAUAAUGGGUGUAAAUAUACAGUAUCCUGGUACAUUUAAGGUUACUUUUACCUUCACUGAAAACGUGCUUCUUGGUGUGACAGAAAACAGGAAGGUGGUGGGGGUGGUCUUUGGCAACAGUCAAAUGAAGGUAAAAGUCACCUUUAAAGGGUGAUUCAUCAACUUAGCUUAAAUAGGUUGUAUAUUGUUUGGAGUUAUGUUCUACAUUGUUCAAGUUUUCAAAGCAAAUGGUAAAUUUGCAUAAAUAACACUUAUAGUUUAUGGCGGCACCCCUGACGAGUUAGCGCUUGCAGUUCAACCUCACAAGUGUUUUUUUGUGUGAGUGUUACCUCCUUAAACCAGGCCUAGGAAAAUACAGUUAUUCUAUUUUUCCUGGGAGUCAGAUGCACUCCAUCCGCAACACAGAAAAGAGCAGGAACAAGUUGGUGGUCUUCCCAACACAGGAGGAGUUUAUUCCCAAGUUUAUGCCCAACAUGGGGCUCGAACCCACGACCCUAAUUCUAAUUUUUCUAAUACUCUUUUCAUUUCACUUAGUUGGUGGGUGUUUUUGCAAACCUAUAUUCAUAAUCUUAGUCACAAUUAUAUUUUGUGUCCUCCCCGUGCAUGCGUGGAUUUUCUCCGGGGAAUGUGGUUUCCUCCCCCAUUCCAAAACCAUGCAGGCUCGGUUAAUUGGCCACUCCAAAUUGUGGAUGAAUGAAUGAAUAUUGAGGCUCAUUUUGUGUUGAGUUGCUUAGAACAACCACAAUAUUUAAGACAUGUGUAUUAAACACUUUGAGAUGAUCUUUCAAAAGGUACGAAGGCUUAUUGUACAUACAAACGUCUAUCUGUGAUUCAUUCCAAGUUAACUAUGGACAUGUGAUUAAUUAUGAUUAAAUCAAUUUGAAUCAAUUGACAGCCCUACAAUUUAAGUUUUAAAUGUCAUCCGGUUUAGCCUUCCUGCAUAAUUUGCACGGGAAUUUGUAGAUUAUGUUGCAUUUUUUGCUCUGUUCUAUUCUGUCUGAGUAUCUGUUCUGUUCUUUUUUAACGACCAAGUUUCAGAGAAUAUAUCAGCUGGCUGAUGGCCUAUGACUUCUGUAAAUUCACAUUUAUGACCUGGGUGAUAAACACUCCAAAAAAGCAACAUGGGUGUCUGCUUUAUCAACAAAAGUGUAACAUGUAGUUUCUGCUAUAUUUAUUCAUGUUUAGUGCUUAGACAUUUUUCAAUCAUGUAGUUUUAACAUGACAAGCAAAAUCCUUAAAACUACUUGAUCGAUUUAUGUCAGCACAACCGAAUGGGUUCAGAUUGGAUCCCAUUUGCAAUACCUCUCCAGAACAGAAGGUGGCAGCAACACGUGACAGGCCCUAUUCAUCAGCUAAGGUAGCUUCCGGUGGAGAAGCGCCAUAGUAGAGAGUUGGGGAGUUAGCUUAUACUGCCUCACGACAAUCUUCUUGCAUCCAUCAAAAGUUAAACCAUCCCUGGUGGAGAAAGAUCUCAGUUGGAACUUGAUACCAUUAAGAUGUCCUGUGUCACAAACUAAAAGGGUCUCCUGUUCAAGUUCACCUCCAUCUGCCAUCCACCUGAAAGGGACUGCUUCUUCAGCUUCAUCAAACCAAAGAGUUACUGUAAAGAGGGCAAUCUCAGCCAGUCUCAGGUUCAUGACAGAGUACUUUAAGUUCAUACAUUUAGUGGCAAUCAAGUCAAGAUAUGCUUUUUUUAUGCGUCAUUGUUUGCCUGUUUUGAAGAAUACAGUCAUUUUACAAAUCAAGUCUGUUUUGUGGUCUUUUUGGAGUUUAUUUUCCUUUUAAAAAGUUUUGUCUCAGUUUAACUUUUUGUUGACUGAACUUUAAGUUUUGUCAAGUCAGGAUUAAAUAACUGGUGAUAUUUUACCUUUUAAAAUUGUAGCUGUACCUACCCUGUAUAAAUAAGAUACCCAUAAUCAUAUAGAAAUGAAUGGAACCAAAGGAAAAUAAGUAGCCUUAGUAGCCUUAGUAGAUAUGUGAAAACAACCUAUACAAAUUAAGUUGGAUUUAAACAUGUUAAACAUGUUCACUCAACAUAUUUGCAAUUAGUUGGUUCAACAAAAUUGUAUCUCAUUAAAUGACAGCAUUUUAAUUGGAUGGAAAUUCUUUCCAUAAUUUUAUUACGUUCACCCAACAAAUUAUUUCUUUGAGUGCAUGCCACACACUUGACCGUGCUUUACAUAAUGGAUACCCCAAAGUACAAUGAAGAAAGCUAAAGUAAAAUAAAGGCUACCGUGAGCGUCUCUUCUCUGAUUCGUGUGCAAGCCCCACCUGGCUGAGUGCCCACUGAGUUGUCACAGCACGUUGACAACAAUCAUUUAGUAUACACCGUGACUCUACAGUCGUGUAAUGUAUUUCAUGUAAGUGUGGGUAUUAUGAGGAUGAUUUUGUCUUUUUGGGUGAUGUGAUGGCUUUUCUUUCUUGUUUUGUGAUAAUGUUUCCUGGGGGUUUGCUAUUGAAUAAAGCUGCUAUUGUGUUGCAGGG